rnacentral:rRNA from 1 species
UACGUAGGGUGCGAGCGUUAAUCGGAAUUACUGGGCGUAAAGCGCGCGUAGGUGGUUUGUUAAGUUGAAUGUGAAAGCCCCGGGCUCAACCUGGGAACUGCAUCCAAAACUGGCAAGCUAGAGUACAGUAGAGGGUGGUGGAAUUUCCUGUGUAGCGGUGAAAUGCGUAGAUAUAGGAAGGAACACCAGUGGCGAAGGCGACCACCUGGACUGAUACUGACACUGAGGUGCGAAAGCGUGGGGAGCAAAC